rnacentral:rRNA from 1 species
CGCCUCUUGAAUUUCAUAAGAGGUCCAGCCUGCCCAGUGACACAAUUAAACGGCCGCGGUACCCUGACCGUGCGAAGGUAGCAUAAUCACUUGUUCUCUAAAUAAGGACUUGUAUCAACGGCAUCACGAGGGUUACACUGUCUCCUCUUUUUAAUCAGUGAAACUGACUUUCCCGUGAAGAGGCGGGAAUAGAAAUACAAGACGAGAAGACCCCAUGGAGCUUUAAACCCAAUAGUUACCUCUAUUUACUACUACUACUUAAUCAAGAAGGCCUAUCUACUGGUUUUAGGUUGGGGUGACCCUGGAGUAAAACUUAACCUCCAUGAUGAAUAGAAUUUAUUCUAAUCCCAGAGCCACUGCUCUACGAAUCAAAAUUUUGACAUAAACUGAUCCGCCUAGCGAUCAACGAACCAAGUUACCCUGGGGAUAACAGCGCAAUCCAUUUCAAGAGCCCCUAUCGACAAAUGGGUUUACGACCUCGAUGUUGGAUCAGGGUAUCCCAGUGGUGCAGCCGCUACUGAAGGUUUGUUUGUUCAACAAUUAAAACCCU